CUUCAAUGAAGAUGCGAUGACGAGUCUGACAGGAGGUGUACUCUGUUCAGGUGUUCUACUCUGGUUCUGCGUUCUGCAGGCCAGAAUUCAGACUCCUGACUUAAAGUCAUUUCCUUAAGAAGAUCUAGAGGCAUUUGUCUGAGAAGG
ensembl:snoRNA SNORD15 Small nucleolar RNA SNORD15